GAGAUUCAGGACAAAAGAGAGACUUCUAAUCUCUACUUUAAGCGGUUAAACUCCGUUUAUUUCUCU
rnacentral:tRNA from 1 species